rnacentral:rRNA from 1 species
UGGGGAAUCUUGCACAAUGGGCGAAAGCCUGAUGCAGCGACGCCGCGUGCGGGACGAAGGCCUUCGGGUUGUAAACCGCUUUCAGCAGGGACGAGGCCGCAAGGUGACGGUACCUGCAGAAGAAGCCCCGGCUAACUACGUGCCAGCAGCCGCGGUAAUACGUAGGGGGCGAGCGUUAUCCGGAUUCAUUGGGCGUAAAGCGCGCGUAGGCGGCCUGCUAGGUCGGGACUCAAAUCCGGGGGCUCAACCCCCGCCCGGUCCCGAUACCGACAGGCUUGAGUCUGGUAGGGGAAGGCGGAAUUCCAAGUGUAGCGGUGGAAUGCGCAGAUAUUUGGAAGAACACCGGUGGCGAAGGCGGCCUUCUGGGCCACGACUGACGCUGAGGCGCGAAAGCUAGGGGAGCGAACAGG